rnacentral:lncRNA from 1 species
ACUCAUCGAGCAGGCAUAUAAGCCCAACACCCAUUUGGAGAAAAGCCUUGGCGAUAUCAUAAGAAAGAAGAGGAGAACAUUAAAAGCUGGUUGAUUGGAUGCGGCGACCCAAGAAUGUGAUCUUUUUCACUCACGUUUUGUCCUCCUUUCAUUGAAGGGACUGUGGACACGAAUAGGCUUUGCUUUUAGAGGUUCCGAGAAGAGGAG